rnacentral:tRNA from 1 species
CGGGGUGUGGCGCAGUUUGGUAGCGCGCUUGAAUGGGGUUCAAGAGGCCGCAGGUUCGAUUCCUGUCACUCCGACCA